CCAGUGGUGCAGAGACGUCGGUCGAGCGGCGGCGAACAUGCGCUGUUGACAUUUUGGAGGCUUUCUUGAUCAUGGAUGGUGAAGAGAUACCAGAUUUUUCAAGUUUAAAGGAGGAAACUGCUUAUUGGAAGGAACUUUCCUUGAAGUAUAAACAAAGCUUCCAGGAAGCUCAUGAUGAGCUGGUUGAAUUCCAGGAGGGAAGCAGAGAAUUAGAAGCAGAGUUGGAGGCACAAUUAGUACAGGCUGAACAAAGAAACAGAGACCUGCAAGCUGAUAACCAAAGACUGAAAUAUGAAGUGGAGGCGUUAAAGGAAAAACUAGAACAUCAGUACGCACAGAGCUACAAGCAGGUCUCAGUCUAAUGAUUUAGGUCAGACCCGGGCCAUGAAAGAGCAGUUGCAUAAAUAUGUGAGAGAGCUGGAACAGGCCAAUGAUGACCUGGAGCGAGCAAAGAGGGCGACAAUAGUUAGUUUCACUGGAAGACUUUGAACAAAGGCUAACUCAGGCCAUUGAAUGAAAUGCAUUUUUAGAAAAUGAACUCGAUGAAAAGGAAUCCUUGUUGGUUUCUGUACAGAGGUUAAAGGAUGAAGCAAGAGACUUAAGGCAAGAACUAGCAGUUCGGGAGAGACAACAGGAAGUGACCCGAAAGUCAGCUCCCAGUUCUCCCACGUUGGACUGUGAGAAGAUGGAUUCUGCUGUCCAGGCUUCACUCUCUUUGCCAGCUACUCCUGUUGGCAAAGGAACAGAAAAUAGUUUUCCUUCACCAAAAGCUAUACCAAAUGGUUUUGGAACCAGUCCACUAACUCCUUCUGCUAGGAUAUCAGCACUAAACAUCGUGGGGAUCUCUUAAGGAAAGUAGGAGCUUUAGAAUCCAAAUUAGCAGCUUGCAGGAAUUUUGCAAAGGACCAAGCAUCACGAAAAUCCUAUAUUUCAGGGAAUGUGAACUGUGGAGUGAUGAAUAGCAAUGGCACAAAGUUCCCUCCAUCAGGGCACACGUCUUUCUUUGACAAAGGGGCAGUGAACGGCUUUGACCCAGCUCCUCCUCCUCCUGGUCUGGGCUCUUCGCGCCCCUCUUCAGCUCCGGGUAUGCUGCCUCUCAGUGUGAGUGCCCGGCCUCCAGGUGGGGGCUCCUGCCCUCCUCCAACAGCCCAGGACACCCACGCCUUCACCCCUUGGUGCCUGGCCCCAGCCCUGUGCCCUUCCAUCUGCCUCCCCAUGGCUGGCAGAGGGCAGGCUGCAUGCAGUGGUGGCUGCUGGGCCCUGCCCAGCCCCAGGACUCUGCGCAAUAUCAAUACUGGCUAUUUUUUUCUUCUCGCCCGUAGUGCCGUUGGUUUCACGUGAUUGCACUUUUGUGGGUCACAAGGUGAUACAUACGUGUAUUAGUUGGUUACUGGAUGCAGAAGUAUCAUUCAUCACACCUGCCUCAUAGCCCCCACUCUACUGUACUGAUAGGAUUUAGUUGUGGUUAGGACAUUGCAGAUCUUCUAGAAGUUUUUCCCCAAAUCAGGUUUACAUGUGCCCUCUCCUGAGCUCCCACCCAUGCAUCUUCAGUGCUCAUGAUCAUGUGUCUCCCAACUUCAUCCCCACAGUUUGAACUGUUUCUGGCAGAGUCAGGAAGGUCGCUGAAUUAGGGCAACAUUGUCUAUACCUUCUGAUUUUAUGUAAGCAGUUACCAUUCCAUAGGCUUGCCUCCAAAGCAGCAAGAUGCCCUCUGAGUGGCAGGUGGCAGGAACCUCCAGGCCUGGGCACUCACAGGGCUGAGCUUCCAUGCUGCUGCUUCGUCCAUGUGCCUCAGAGGUGGGUGGCAACUUCCUCACCAGCUUUCUGGUCCUUCAGUUAAAUGCCAUCUUCAGAACAUUUUUGUUUUAUCCUCUGAGGGUCCGCCCAGUUGCAUUGGGAAGGAUUGAGUGGCCUGAUUCUGGGGGCUGGCUGAUGCCAGCUCCUGGUGGCAGACUGACCAAAAGUGGUUGUCCCUGUGCAACCUUUGGUUACUCUCAUGUUGCAUUUACUGUUUAAAUUUGUUUUAUUGUACAUAGGUUUGUAAACAUUAUUGCCUAAGAUGUUUAUAUAUAACUUGGGCUUUGUAGCUUUUAUUUAUUCAGAACUCAUAUGGCAUGUUAAUGACUUAUGAUGGUGUCCUUCUCUGGGGCAGCUGUAUAGGAUCAUCAUGUGGCUAAAAAAAAAAGAAAAAAAGAAAA